GAACCAGCCAAGUAGCGUGCAGGAUGACGGCCCUAUGGGUUGUAAACUGCUUUUAUAAGGGAAUAAAGUGAGUCUCGUGAGACUUUUUGCAUGUACCUUAUGAAUAAGGACCGGCUAAUUCCGUGCCAGCAGCCGCGGUAAUACGGAAGGUCCGGGCGUUAUCCGGAUUUAUUGGGUUUAAAGGGAGCGUAGGCCGGAGAUUAAGCGUGUUGUGAAAUGUAGACGCUCAACGUCUGCACUGCAGCGCGAACUGGUUUCCUUGAGUACGCACAAAGUGGGCGGAAUUCGUGGUGUAGCGGUGAAAUGCUUAGAUAUCACGAAGAACUCCGAUUGCGAAGGCAGCUCACUGGAGCGCAACCGACGCUGAAGCUCGAAAGUGCGGGUAUCGAACAGGAUUAGAUACCCUGGUAGUCCGCACGGUAAAACAAUGGAAGCCCCCCUGUGGGUUUGAAUAGGUUCAGCGGGCCAAGGCGAAAGCAUUAAGCAUCCCCCCCUGGGGGGUACGCCGGCACCGGUGAAACUCAAGGAAAAAGACGGGGGCCCGCACAAGCGGAGGAACAUGUGGUUUAAUUCGAUGAUACGCGAGGAACCUUACCCGGGCUUGAAUUGCAGAGGAAGGAUUUGGAGACAAUGACGCCCUUCGGGGCCUCUGUGAAGGUGCUGCAUGGUUGUCGUCAGCUCGUGCCGUGAGGUGUCGGCUUAAGUGCCAUAACGAGCGCAACCCCUCUCCUUAGUUGCCAUCAGGUCAAGCUGGGCACUCUGGGGACACUGCCACCGUAAGGUGUGAGGAAGGUGGGGAGGACGUCAAAUCAGCACGGCCCUUACGUCCGGGGGUACACACGUGUUACAAUGGCAGGUACAGAGAGACGGUCCCUUGCAAAAUGGAUCAAAUCCUUAAAACCUGUCUCAGUUCGGACUGGGGUGUGCAACCCGACCCCACGAAGCUGGAUUCGCUAGUAAUCGCGCAUCAGCCAUGGCGCGGUGAAUACGUUCCCGGGCCUUGCACA
rnacentral:rRNA from 1 species